GAAUCAGAAGAAUCCAGGAAUGUGGUUGAUGGUAACCAAAACAGGGAAUCCAGUUGUGUGCGCUCCCUGCACUUCUGAAGCCAGUCUAUUUCUUGCUGUGCUUUUGACACUGUGGUCAGUCCUGGGACAGAUGGAAGAGGCUACUUUGUUGGAGCUUCUACUGGUCAAGGAACUCAGUUUGUUCCAGAACAAGCUGGAUUCACGUCCCCAAGACAGAGAACAGCCCUGGACUGGUGCAGAUAAGAUCAUCCACAGCCAGCAGCCCCUUGGCAAGCCUGAGCUGAGUUCCAACCCCAACCCAAGGGUUUUGGAUGGAAAUUCUUCCAGCCAUCAGACUCUGCUUUAUGGAAGAAGCUCCCCACAUCCUGACCAUCACUCUAGUCCCAGCUUCCAGAAACCCAAUAAAUGGUUAGCCAUAAUUUGAGUGAUUGCCAAUUAACCUCCUUUCCCGUGGGAGUGGGUGAAAGAGAAGGCAGCAAAUGUUUGCUCAGGACCUAAUAUUUCACAUACUUUAUCUCGUUUAAUAAUGGAUGCCUACCCAUCCCUCAUAUAUUUUCAAUUUAACAAAUAUCAUGAAAUGGAGCUAGUAAAGCCUCGCGGCUGUAUUAUAUGCAUCCUGGUCCCAGCCAGUCCAGAAAUCAUCAUUAAGUUUAAAAACCGGGGAGUGUGGAGUAGUAUUUACUAGCCAAAAAUGUAUAAAUAAACCUUUAUAAAUGAGUGCUUCA
rnacentral:lncRNA from 1 species